rnacentral:lncRNA from 10 species
CUGUUUACAAACUUGACGUACACACGCAGUCCUAUCCCUACGGUCCUGGAAUUGGGGGUUACUAUCUUGGAAUCUAGGGGCACUCCAGGCUCUGGGCUCAGACGGCUGGCUUCUGCCUACCCGAGCCUUAACCUUUCAAGGACCAGAAGGAUUCCAGAGCUCUUGCCCUAGGUCCUGGGGCAGCGAUGACUCACUGCAGCACCCCCUCCCACUUCGCCAAGCUGCCGUCUCCGCCCACCCCCAAACAAUCUCGACAGCGCAUUUCGGGAGCCACGGCUCCGGGCGCUUUGCUGGGGGCUAAAGGGGUUUAUCCCUUUCCUUGAAUCCCAGCAGGCUAGAACUACCCCCUCCCAGUCUUCAGGCUUGCCACGCUCUCCACCCGAUCCUUCCAUUGAAAGGCAGAGAAGGAAGGAUGUGCUUGGGAACUUUAAGACCCACGAACGACAGCGCACUGAUGGAGCAGCCCAGUGUCUGGGGCAAAGUCCUCGAGGUUCAUUCAUUCAGGAAGCCUCUGACCAGCCUUUACCAUGCGCUGAGUGAGAAGCUGAGGAUAAGGAAAGAGCAAGACCCCCAAGAAACCCUGAUGUCUGGCUGAAAGCCGAAGCAUGACGCAACUUUGCUAUAUUUCUCUCCAACAAGGAUUUGUAUAUUUUCGCUUUCUCCUCAAGUAACACCUGGACCUGCUCCUUUCCCUUCAAACGCUGAGGGCUCAGUCUCCAAGUUCCUUUAUGAAACAGGGUGUACCAUCAGAGACGCAGGGUAUUUAUUGAAACCUGCUUUGUGCUGGGCAAUGUGCCAGAUGUUGGGGAUAAAAUGGUGAGCAGACAGAUCCUGUGCCUGUCUUUAUUGAGCUUGGAGCCUAGUAUGUAUGACAAACUUUAAUCAAAUAAUCAUAUAUUGAAAUAUUGCAGCUGUAGUAAAUCUAAUGAAGAAGGGGUACAGGUGCUAUGAGAUCUUAAAAUAGGUGCCUUCAUUAGAAGGCUGGAAAAGGUUUCCCUGAGGAAGGGUAUUGAGCUAUGAAGAUAAGAACAGUAGUCAUUAUUAUCAUCAUAGUGAGCAGCUAGCCAUGAUUUGAACAUUUCCUUUGGGCCAGUACUAGGUAUACAUCUG